rnacentral:rRNA from 1 species
UACGUAGGUGGCUAGCGUUGUCCGGAUUUACUGGGCGUAAAGAGCGCGCAGGCGGUCGUUCAAGUCGAGUGUGAAAGCCCCCGGCUCAACUGGGGAGGGUCAUUCGAUACUGAUCGACUUGAAGGCAGGAGAGGGUAGUGGAAUUCCCGGUGUAGUGGUGAAAUGCGUAGAUAUCGGGAGGAACACCAGUGGCGAAGGCGACUACCUGGCCUGUUCUUGACGCUGAGGCGCGAAAGCUGGGGGAGCAAACGGG